CCUACGGGGUGCAGCAGUGAGGAAUAUUGGUCAAUGGACGAGAGUCUGAACCAGCCAAGUAGCGUGAAGGAUGACUGCCCUAUGGGUUGUAAACUUCUUUUAUAUGGGAAUAAAAUGUUCCACGUGUGGGAUUUUGUAUGUACCAUAUGAAUAAGGAUCGGCUAACUCCGUGCCAGCAGCCGCGGUAAUACGGAGGAUCCGAGCGUUAUCCGGAUUUAUUGGGUUUAAAGGGAGCGUAGGUGGAUUGUUAAGUCAGUUGUGAAAGUUUGCGGCUCAACCGUAAAAUUGCAGUUGAAACCGGCAGUCUUGAGUACAGUAGAGGUGGGCGGAAUGCGUGGUGUAGCGGUGAAAUGCUUAGAUAUCACGAAGAACUCCGAUUGCGAAGGCAGUUCACUGGACUGCAACUGACACUGAGGCUCGAAAGUGUGGGUAUCAAACAGGAUUAGAUACCCUAGUAGUC
rnacentral:rRNA from 1 species